UACGUAGGUGGCAAGCGUUGUCCGGAUUUAUUGGGUUUAAAGGGUGCGUAGGCGGUUCCAUAAGUCAGUGGUGAAAUACGGCAGCUCAACUGUCGAGGUGCCAUUGAUACUGUGGAACUUGAGUACAGACGAGGUAGGCGGAAUUGACGGUGUAGCGGUGAAAUGCUUAGAUAUCGUCAAGAACACCGAUAGCGAAGGCAGCUUACUAGGCUGUAACUGACGCUGAUGCACGAAAGUGUGGGGAUCAAACAGG
rnacentral:rRNA from 1 species